AUUGUAAAGAGAUGCCCAAGAGGAAGAAGAUAUAGCCGUUUAGAGAGAGAGAUUGAUCUUGGCUUCAACGGGACGAUUUGAAUCCGAAAUUGAAAUUAGAGUUUUGAAAAAAUUAAGAUCUCUCAUGGAUGAAGAAUCCGAUUUGCUGAUGUUUAAUGGUUUCUUUGAGAAAAAGCAGAGCAGAGACUUAGUAUUAGAGAUAUGUUGGGCCGGAAGAUAUGUAUCUUACGGACCAAGUCUGUGAAGCCUGUGAAACCCAUGAAGACCCUCAAGAAUAAAAGGAAAGAUUUGAAGAACAAGUUACUCUCAAAAUAUUUUAGCAUAUUUACAUUAAGUGUUUAGGAAAGUUAGCAUUAUCUAGUGUUAACAUUAUGUUAAUGUUACCACUAUAUACAUGCAUAUUGUAUUCUCUUAUUAAACACAAUACAAUAAUAUAUCUAUUCUAUUAUUUUA